rnacentral:rRNA from 1 species
CAGUCGCCGCGGUAAAACGGAGGGGGCUAGCGUUGUUCGGAAUUACUGGGCGUAAAGCGCACGUAGGCGGCUUGGUAAGUUAGAGGUGAAAGCCUGGAGCUCAACUCCAGAAUUGCCUUUAAGACUGCCGAGCUAGCAGGUGAGAGAGGUAAGUGGAAUUCCGAGUGUAGAGGUGAAAUUCGUAGAUAUUCGGAAGAACACCAGUGGCGAAGGCGGCUUACUGGCUCAUACUGGACGCUGAGGUGCGAAAGCGUGGGGAGCAAACAGGAUUAGAUACCCCGGUAGUCCCUGUCUCUUAUAC